rnacentral:sRNA from 1 species
AAACAUAAUUAGAGGAAUGACUAAUAUUGCACUGCUGAAAUAGGUUGUGAAAAAAAAUUGAAUAUAAUAGACAUAAUGGGAGAAAAGAGCCCCACUUUACAUUUUCAAUUUUCUCAAUCCGGAGUCCAUUUAAACUAAAGUUUCCCAUUCAAUUUGGAAAAAAAAAAUAUGUCUCUUGACAUGUGCUCUAAAAGUGUGAUUUUCCUCUUCUGUCUUUAAAGGGUCACCAUGGUGAUCAAGGUGCUCCUGGCUCCGUGGGUCCUGCUGGUCCUAGGGGCCCUGCUGGUCCUUCUGGCCCUGCUGGAAAAGAUGGUCGCACUGGACAUCCUGGUACAGUUGGACCUGCUGGCAUUCGAGGCCCUCAGGGUCACCAAGGCCCUGCUGUAAGUAUGAUUUGGGGAAAUAAUAAAGAAGAUCACGGACCUAAGGAAUGUUUUCUUCAGACUAAACCAAGACAACUUUGACAACCCAUUAAAGUUAGCCCCAUUUCAAUAUAUCCUCUAAAAUAUCUGGAAAUUGUCUAUAUGCAAUGGGCUUGUUAAGUCCAUCCCUGCAAGUGUGCCUGGGGGCUCGUUAUUUAUUUAUGUGAACUUGA